UUCCAGACUCCUACGGGAGGCAGCAGUGGGGGAUAUUGCACAAUGGGGGGAACCCUGAUGCAGCGACGCCGCGUGGGUGAAGGAGUGCUUCGGCAUGUAAAGCCCUAUCGGCAGGGAAGAAGCAAGACGGUACCUGACUAAGAAGCCCCGGCUAACUACGUGCCAGCAGCCGCGGUAAUACGUAGGGGGCGAGUGUUAUCCGGAUUCACUGGGUGUAAAGGGAGCGUAGGCGGGGAUGCAAGUUGGGUGUCAAAACUACCGGCUCAACUGGUAGUCGCACUCAAAACUGCAGCUCUUGAGUGAAGUAGAGGCAGGCGGAAUUCCUAGUGUAGCGGUGAAAUGCGUAGAUAUUAGGAGGAACACCAGUGGCGAAGGCGGCCUGCUGGGCUUUUACUGACGCUGAGGCUCGAAAGUGUGGGGAGCAAACAGGAUUAGAUACCCGCGUA
rnacentral:rRNA from 1 species